rnacentral:rRNA from 1 species
CCUACGGGAGGCAGCAGUGGGGAAUAUUGGGCAAUGGGCGCAAGCCUGACCCAGCAACGCCGCGUGAAGGAAGAAGGCUUUCGGGUUUUAAACUUCUUUUUUCAUGGACGAAGCAAGUGACAGUACCUGACGAAUAAGCCACCGCUAACUACGGGCCAGCAGCCGCUGUAAUACGUAGGUGGCAAGCGUUAUCCGGAUUUACUGGGUGUAAAGGGCGUGUAGGCGGGACUGCAAGUCAGAUGUGAAAACCACGGGCUCAACCUGUGGCCUGCAUUUGAAACUUGAGUUCUUGAGUACUGGAGAGGCAGACGGAAUGCGUAGUGUAGCGGUGAAAUGCGUAGAUAUUAGGAGGAACACCAGUGGCGAAGGCGGUCUGCUGGACAGCAACUGACGCUGAGGCGCGAAAGCGUGGGGAGCAAACAGGAUUAGAUACCCGAGUAGUC